GACGAACGCUGGCGGCGUGCUUAACACAUGCAAGUCGAACGGAAAGGCCCUGCUUUUGUGGGGUGCUCGAGUGGCGAACGGGUGAGUAACACGUGAGUAACCUGCCCUUGACUUUGGGAUAACUUCAGGAAACUGGGGCUAAUACCGGAUAGGAGCUCCUGCUGCACGGUGGGGGUUGGAAAGUUUCGGCGGUUGGGGAUGGACUCGCGGCUUAUCAGCUUGAUGGUGGGGUAGUGGCUUACCAAGGCUUUGACGGGUAGCCGGCCUGAGAGGGUGACCGGCCACAUUGGGACUGAGAUACGGCCCAGACUCCUACGGGAGGCAGCAGUGGGGAAUAUUGCACAAUGGGCGGAAGCCUGAUGCAGCAACGCCGCGUGCGGGAUGACGGCCUUCGGGUUGUAAACCGCUUUCGCCUGUGACGAAGCGUGAGUGACGGUAAUGGGUAAAGAAGCACCGGCUAACUACGUG
rnacentral:rRNA from 1 species